AUGUAGUUUUAUGGACCACUGUCUUUGGGAAGAAGGAGCCCACACAAAUCCACUGCAGUAGAGGAGGAUGCUUUUUCCCACGAAGAGUGCUGUGCCGUAGGAAUGCUGCUUCUCCUUCAGGCUGCUUAACACCACAAGCACCGUGUACCCAGAUGUG